rnacentral:rRNA from 1 species
UACAGAGGUGGCAAGCGUUGUUCGGAAUUACUGGGCGUAAAGGGCGCGUAGGCGGCCUUCUAAGUCAGACGUGAAAUCCCCCGGCUUAACCUGGGAACUGCGUCUGAUACUGGGGGGCUUGAGUAUGGGAGAGGGAUGCAGAAUUCCAGGUGUAGCGGUGAAAUGCGUAGAUAUCUGGAGGAACACCGGUGGCGAAGGCGGCAUCCUGGACCGGUAUUGACGCUGAGGCGCGAAAGCCAGGGGAGCAAACGGG